UAUGUGGAUACUGUAUGGUAACGUGACUGAAGUCCUCGAUGCAAGCGGGUGCCCCGGGAAGCGUUGUCUUUGCUUCUUAACACCGUCUAUACAAACGUGCUGUGGCAUCAUAUUAUCUGAAAGAAGGCCUGGUCAGUUAGUAAAGCUUGCUGACUUCCGGGAAGUCAGGUGUGGUCCUGAGCGCCCUUGAGAAGGCGACGGGAAAUUGUUACUUGCAA
rnacentral:ncRNA from 1 species